rnacentral:rRNA from 1 species
CCUACGGGAGGCAGCAGUGAGGAAUAUUGGUCAAUGGACGAGAGUCUGAACCAGCCAAGUAGCGUGAAGGAUGACUGCCCUAUGGGUUGUAAACUUCUUUUAUAUGGGAAUAAAAUGUUCCACGUGUGGGAUUUUGUAUGUACCAUAUGAAUAAGGAUCGGCUAACUCCGUGCCAGCAGCCGCGGUAAUACGGAGGAUCCGGGCGUUAUCCGGAUUUAUUGGGUUUAAAGGGAGCUUAGGUGGAUUGUUAAGUCAGUUGUGAAAGUUUGCGGCUCAACCGUAAAAUUGCAGUUGAAACUGGCAGUCUUGAGUACAGUAGAGGUGGGCGGAAUUCGUGGUGUAGCGGUGAAAUGCUUAGAUAUCACGAAGAACUCCGAUUGCGAAGGCAGUUCACUGGACUGCAACUGACACUGAGGCUCGAAAGUGUGGGUAUCAAACAGGAUUAGAUACCCCUGUAGUC